rnacentral:lncRNA from 1 species
GCGGUGGUGGCAGUGCUUAGGUGGUGCGCAGUAGUUGUUAUAGUGGUGUUGUUCACAAUGGUUGACUCGUCAUUGGCUCGUCAUUCUCAGGUAAGUUCUUCAAUUUGGUACCUUAAAUGCUUAUUUUCUAGAUUGGAUAAUUUGUCGAAUUAAUGGAUUACACAAUCUGUAAUGGUUAAUGUGAAGGAAUCAUGUACCGAAUUACAUAAUAAAGAACUUAGUUCCAGAUCCAGAAUAACAUUCCAGAUUACCCAAUCCAAAUAUCAUCUUAUAACUUAAAAUAUAUCUUACAGAUUACGUAAUCCAAAACCUAAUUAAACAAAGAAAAAAUAAUGGAUUACAUUAUUCCGUUUGAAAAUUCAAAUUAAAAAGGCUCAAACCAUCAAAAUUACUAACCUUGUGGUGGAUGAAGAGGGCAAUUGUGGUGAAUGAUGGAGGAUAAUGUUUGAAAGAGACAUUUGGAGAAGAGCUUUAAAGGGAGGAGAGCUUUUAGGGAGGUGGGAACUUUGGAGGGGAGGUGGGCGCCGCUGGGAGUGAAUGAAUGUGAGUGUGAAAAAGGUAUAAUGGUAAAUUUGGUUUUAGUAUGGGAAAGAAGUGACGGAGGUGCAUGAAGAAGCAGUCCAACCACAGAGAGUAAUUUUGUCUUCCCAAAGCUUCUUAGUUUUUUUUUCUACCAUAAAGCCCAUAGAAGCAUGGCCACAACCUUCGUUAGCUCAUCCAUCACCAUCAACAUUUAACACAAAUGUAUGGCAAAUUCUCCUUGCACCUCAAUGGCUUCUUCAUAAAUUUUUGAAAUGUCAAAUGUACCAUUCAUAGUAGAUUUUAGGGUUUGUGGAUGGUUCUUGGUGGUUGGAGGUGGUUAUCAGAGGUGAAGGUGAGUUAACAUCUUCAUUUGCUUUUUUAUUUUUGUUUUAUUAUUGUAUACUGCAGAUGUCGACCUUAUUUUUGAAAUACAUACUUGAUUUACCUAUUUAGAAUACAAAAUAUCAUAUCUGGUAUUGUAUAACGGAUAGAUCAAUUCGAUAUGUGCUAUAAAUUUACAUACUGAAUUGUGUUAUUUGGUAUACAAUACCAUAUCCGAUUUUGUAUACCUAAAGAACCGAUCUGACAUGUGUUUCAAAAAAUGUUUCAAAAAAUGAGGUAUAUAAUAUGGUUUGUUUAGAGAAAAUGUGCAAACCAGUAUGUAAUUCAACAGAGUUUUAUUUUUAGUUUAUACCAUCCGACUUCAACAUAAUUUAUAAUUUUUUUUACCAAAGAUCCAAAAAUGGUGGAGAAAAAUGGAAUUCAAAAAACAAAAGCUUAACUUUCCUAGUAUUGUGCAAAUACUUUCUUUAACCCAGUCCUUGAGUGUGUUUCAAAUGUUUUCUUAAAUUCACUCUGGCUGGACAAUGAAGGUGUUGCCGUGGAGAAAAGAAAAAGGAAGUAAGGAGGUUGUGUAUACUCUUGAUUUGAACUUGAUUGAUUCUAUUAGUCAAGUAUAUGUUCAUGUAUUUAAAAUCUUUAAUCAGUUUAUUUAAACUUUGAUUUUAGAGACAACAACUUUGAUUUAAUUAAUCAGUUUAAUUAGAAAACAAAUUAAAAAUAAUUUUCAGUGUCACCUUUUAUUCUCAAUAAUACAAAACAAUUGUUGAAAUUGAUGAGACAUUCCAAAGGUCUCAUGAAUAAAUUUGAAUUUUGAUCAAUUACAAUGAGAGAUAAUUAAUGAAUUGGGAAAUAUUUAUGUAUUGUCACUUUUAAUUUAUAAGACAUUAUUAGGGAAAACUAAUACAGAGUAAGAAUUUAUUGUACCCUUUAAAUUGAUUGGAUUAUUUGGGAAAAAAUAACCAACGCAUUUCAUGAUGAUUAUUAAUAUGUCAUGUGGAGUAUAUUGUGUUCUUGUUGUUGAGAUGUGAGAUUUAUUUUUAAAGAGUAGGUUUAAGAAGAAGGUAAUUAUGAAAUAUUUUUAUAAAUGAAUCAAUUAUUUCUUUUAAAUCAAGAUAGCUUAUGUAUAUAUAUUUAAACUUCAAAAAAUAUCAAUAUAAUGUUAACCAUAGUUGAGAAUACAUAAGUGUAUUCAGUUGUAUUGACUGGGAUCGAAAGAAAAUCUCUGAUCGAGUUGAGUGGGAUUAUAAAGCUUGAUUUGAAAAUGAAGCAAUAAAGAGCUGAAAUGAUCACAAGUUGUGGAACAAUGAGAAGAUUCUCUUACAUGUAUAUAUGGUUGUUCAUCUCGUGAUUCAGUUUUUAGCUACUCUUACCAUUAUUGCUACAUAGAUUUUAUCUACAACCCCAUCUACAUAAACAAUGUAAGCAUGUCUCCAAUCCCUCUUCAACAACAGAGUUCCCAAGAAUGCCCAAAACCCUGUAAUGAAGCCAAGUGCAAUGACAAAGUAAAACAACACCUUUUCUUUCUUAUCACCGUUCUCAUUGUGUUCUUCAUGGCUCACGCUUGUAGGUACCCCAUUGCUGAUGGAACAUUUAUUCGUAAGGGGUUCUCCGCAGAGAUGUGGAUUGCCAGCAAAAGAUCGAUUAUCAAAGGUGAGGAAAUGAUCAUUUGUUGGAAUGGAACCAGAUAAAUUAUUGUAGGACAAGUUUAAGAAACCUAGAUUAUCCAUGAUGGACAUGUUGGUUGGGAUGGGACCAGAAAGGUUAUUGUUGGAGAAAUCGAGAGAUUCCAGUGACUUCAUUUUCUGUAUGUUGUUUGGAAUUUUUGCUGACAAGUGAUUAUGUGAUAAGUUCAAGCCAAUCAAUCCUGAAAGAGAGGUUAAGUCGUCAGGGAUUGAUCCCACCAGACUGUUACUCGACAAGUCUAAGUUUACCAAGUAUGGAUAUGCGAAUUUUUUUGUGUAAUCAUGUUCAUUUCCUUUCAGGAAUUGCUUGAAAUGCCUUUUUGCCCAUUCAUCUGCAUCAUAUGUGAAUGCUGGUGGUGCUUCAACUCCCUUUAUCAUCAUGCCCCGGAAAUCACCAAUGCAGGCAGGGAUUGAACCUGACAAAUUAUUGUCAGCAAGGUCCAGGAUUU